UACAUAUCUGUAUAUACGGAAUCCACAAAGACUGCUUCCUUGGGCAUGUAUUAUGUGUCCCUGUAGGAAAAGUAAGCCUCAACCCCUUUCUUCCUUCUUCUACUAAGAAUAAACAAAUAAAUAAGAAGCCUUAUACUUAGAUGCAAUUACUUCAUGCAGGUCGACCAGAACUAAUGUAUUUCAUCAAGGAAAUAAAAAUGUGUUGACGGAGGAAGCGUAUGAAUAGAGAAUGUGUAGUCGUGGGGAAAAAUCAGAUCUUUUAGUUGUUACCGAAGUGAGACAUCUGUGCUCAAAUUCUCUGAAGACUUGUAUAUGAAAACAGUCAUUUUGAUGUUCACAGAGUAUCUUACAGAAGAUGACAGUGAGGGACUUACUGGGAUGCAGCACUGGCUCUUGAAAGAGCUGAACCCCACGUAAGCUUUGAAGAAGAUUUGAGUUGGCUGAAUUGCAUAUUUUAAUAAGAUGUGAAACAUACUACCUUCUCUUUCUUUUGAGGAAAGUUAGAACAGAAGUCGAAACAUGCUUGUUUCACCCGAAUAUCCACUUCUAUUCAUAUAAGAAAGAAAAACAAAAUGGCUUCCAUUCUGGGUCUUCAUGACCCAAACCAUCAUGUGUCAGUAUCUAUCUUGUAAGACUUCCUGUCAAUAAACCACCACAGAUGUGUUCCUAUCA